rnacentral:rRNA from 1 species
GACGUAGGGCGCGAGCGUUGUCCGGAUUUAUUGGGCGUAAAGCGCGCGUAGGUGGUCAUGUAAGUCCGCUGUGAAAGUCAAAGGCUCAACCUUUGAAAGCCGGUGGAUACUGCAUGACUAGAGUACGGAAGAGGCGAGUGGAAUUCCUGGUGUAGCGGUGGAAUGCGCAGAUAUCAGGAGGAACACCAAUAGCGAAGGCAGCUCGCUGGGACGUUACUGACACUGAGGCGCGAAAGCGUGGGGAGCGAACAGG